GAUGAAGAACGCAGCGAAAUGCGAUAAGUAGUGUGAAUUGCAGAAUUCCGUGAAUCAUCGAAUCUUUGAACGCACAUUGCGCCUUCUGGUAUUCCGGAAGGCAUGCCUGUUCGAGAGUCAUUAACAACCGUUUCGAUCCCUUUCUUUCAGAAAUUACAAAGAGGAAAAGGGUUUGGUUAUGGUGGAGGAGGGAAAGGGAGCGUUUAGCCUGUAAAAAAAGAGGCUGUGUUCCGCCUCCCCCCCAAAAUUAUACAGGCGGUCGUGUGCGCCCACGCAUCGAGGUGUUGUAAAAGCUGCCACGGCACUUUUCACCUGUGCAGUGCGAGAUUGGCCAGCCGGUUUAAAAACCCCUCCAAACAAUCAAAGGUUGACCUCGGAUCAGGUAGGGAUACCCGCUGAACUUAAGCAUAUCAAUAAGCGGAGGA
rnacentral:misc_RNA from 1 species